UCAUUUCAACUCCACAAACUAAUCAGAGUACACUAUGAAAAGUUUAUCCACUCCUUCCAUAAAAUUACUAACUUAUCAGGUUUGGGCUCGGGUUCAGCACUGGCCAUUCCACACUAGUUUUUUUUAUUAAUAAGGGACAGUUUUAGGAGCUUGGGGUCGUCAGGGACCUUUUGGGAAGGCUGAAAAAGUUUUAGGGUUAUUUUGGGAAAACUGGCCUAACAGACGUGGUAUCCCCAGUUCUGACGCAUAUCCUUCAAAAAAACCGGCGCCGCACUGGUUAGCCUAACACACGGUUCAUAAUCUCCUUCUAAUCUAUUGGUUUAUCGUAAGUUGUACCGUCUUUGAACACUUUUCUCUCCAGGUCGUCUGCUCUUUUCUUGCACUUCGAUGGAUUAUUGUGGUAAUUAUCCUUCUUUCUUAUCUGCAACUUCUUGUACCAUGGCUUCCAUAUUUCAUGGGAUACAUACUAGGAUCUAAUAUUCUACUGCGGAAACCAAUUAAACCAACACUUAAUGGAGUAAUAAAAUCAAACACAUCAGAAAAUCAAUGAGUGAAAUAUUAAUUGGGAACUGACCUCACUGCCUUUUCUAUUCUCUGUAUCAAAAUUGAUUGUAAAACCUAGCUCUGUAGCAAGAGGAAACACAAGUUGCUCUCCGUCAACGUGUGUGCUAACAUGUAAUAGGUGACGCAAUUGAUUAUUGCACCAUUCUCUU
rnacentral:lncRNA from 1 species